rnacentral:lncRNA from 1 species
CAAAUAAACCAGCAAAGUUAAGCAGGCUGGAGCUAAUGAGAGGCCACUGGAAAGCAGUAUGUGAAUAAUGUAAAUGUCUUACUAUGAUAAGAUGCUGUAUUUUCAUUAGGUUGGAACAGCAUUGACAGGGCAGCUGAAGAGCCCUUUGGCAAUAUGAAGGCUAAUUACUUGCCAUGAAGAAACGAAAACUUGUCAAGCGGGAGCUCUGUCAUUGCUCAGUUCAAUAAAUCAAGGCAAUAAAUCAUAUCCAUCAGAGUCUCUCUGCCUUUUUAGGGUAUCUGUAAUGCGUGGGGGAGUGGAGAAGCCAAACACUGGAAACAGUAUCAUCUUAAAGAAGGGCUGAUUAUGUGUAGCUGAUGAAAAAUUAUUUCCACACUUUUUUUUUUUAAUAAUGCAGGUGCACUGAGUAAGGUGGAGAAUGGUAAAGAUGGUGCAUCUGUAGAUGAAUACAGAGGGAGAAUGAACAGGCAAUGGAACAUGUUUAUUGUUUACUUAGGUGCUUGGGAUAAGAACUUAAAAUAUCCUGUUUUGGAUUCCUUGCUGCACAGCAUCCAGAUUAGCUGAUUAAGGGUGUUUUCAGUUGGUUAAAUAGCUCCUCAGGGCAAACCAGUUCUCAAGGGGCAGUGGUGUCUCCUGAUUGCCUUCUAGAUUAGGGGACCAUAGAAUAUUACACUCCACUGGGCAUUAUUCCAGCUCUGCUGCCAACCUUCCUGACCUUGGGAGAGCACUGUAACCACUGGAGGUACCCUUCCUCUUAGCCUCUUAGCCUCUCCUACUGAAGCCAUGUCAGUGUGCAGUGGAGAAUUUGGCAGUGCUGGUGUGGCAAGGAAAACUCAUCCUGGAUCACCAUGGACUCACGAAACUCUGCUGUAUGAUGAUACAAGACAUUGCCUGGUGAUCAUGGGACUAAGACCGACUCUCAUCCUGCCUCUGGGCCUGAUCCUGACCUACACUGUCUGCUCAGCAUCUUGCCCUCAGCUCGGUGAGGUCCCUGAGCCCUCCUGCCCUGCUGUCACUUGGCUCCUGCUCACCUUCCCUUAUUGCGGCAGCCAGCCAUUGAUGCUCCCUGGCACAAACACAACUACCACAGCUUGAGGAGCACUUCCGUAGCAUACCUCAGCACUUCAGCACAGUGGCUUGGAUUCCCGCUUUGAGGUGGGUGUGUAGGCUGCUCUCCACCAUUGCUUCUUUGAUGGCAGAACCUUCUUCUAAUAGAAAUAUAAAAACAGCUUUCCAAAAUAAUUUCCCAGUCAUUUCUAGGUAGUCAAAGAGAUAAAAGACAGACACUGAGUUUCAUACACUGUCAGUAAAAGCCACUCCUCCCUAGUGCAAAGGCCAAGCAGAAGACAGCAGUAAACAUAUGGCUGUGUCACAAGCUGGCUCUUACCAGCAGAAUGCCAAGUGAACUUUCUG